rnacentral:misc_RNA from 1 species
GAAAACCGUCGCGUUUUCCGGUGCGAUAGGAUAAUCCGCGAGGGGGGAGCUCAAGCGAAAGAAGUAACCCGUCGACCCCGUCGACGGGGGGGGGGAUAUUCGUCUCGUUCUCGUGAGAGAAGGAAAAAAAAGGAGAAGAGAAGAAGAUUUCGAGAACGGGUCCCGCGGAUCCCGCGACAUGUAAAUAAGGGUUGUUGUCGUCUGUCAUCGGCGGGUCUGGGUUCGAGGCUCGCGCAUAAAAAGCGUCCAUAUCCCGCGAAUUACCGGCAGUCAUUGCGACACACGGGCGACUCUCGUCAUCGUGAUAUGCGGGGCGCCGCGUCGCGCGUCGUCCUCGUCGCCGUCGUCGUCCUAGCCGCGGACAACGAGCACUAAACGUCGCGCAGACUCGUGUGGCUUUCCCGACCAUCGCCGUACAAAGGAUGCCGGUGAAGGUCGACGUGAUACCACCGCCGCCCGCGAACUCGAAACAGCCCGGUGUCACCAAGUCCCUGUUAUACAACGGCUCGCGCUUUCAGGGUUCGCAAAAGUCCAAGGGCAACAGUUACGAUGUAGAGGUGGUUUUGCAGCACGUGGACGAAGAGAACAGUUAUCUGUGCGGAUACUUGAAGAUCAAGGGCUUGACCGAGGAAUUUCCGACGUUGACGACGUUCUUCGACGGCGAGAUCAUUUCCAAAAAAUACCCGUUCCUGACUCGCAAGUGGGACGCCGACGAGGAUGUUGACAAGAAACACUGGAGUAAGUUUGAGUCAUUCUGUCAAUACGCCAAGACGUUCAAUUCCGACACGUUUGAUUACGAGGCACUGAAGGGAACAGAUUUUGUAUUUAUGAGGUGGAAGGAACACUUUCUAGUACCCGAUCACACGAUCAAAGAUAUUAACGGUGCCUCCUUUGCGGGAUUCUACUACAUUUGCUUCCAGAAAUCCGCCGCCACAAUUGAGGGCUUUUAUUAUCAUCGUAGCUCCGAAUGGUAAAACAAUAUGCAAGUCUGUAUCUAUUAUAGAUUAAAAACUGGAUAACACUGAAAGCUUAAUCGGUAUCAGUCCUUGAAUUUAAGACACGUUCCGGAGCACAGUAUACAAAUCUAUGAAUUCAGGUGAAGUCCAUACUUUUGUUGAGAAAUCUCACAAAAGACAUUCGUGUCUUUUUCUUCUAGCACGCAGAUCUCAUAAAAUUUUGCCCGAUCAAUUUAUUAAUACAUGUUUUAAUAAAUUGGUUUAUUAAUUAUGACAUUCUUCGGUCUUGGAGAUUUGUAAAAAAAGAAUUUAGAAUUUGAUAAUAUUUUUCUUAGCCAAUGAUGCUAAGAAUUAUAAAGACGAGGAUUAUGGAGCGCCUAUUUUGUGGUUGAGCGAUAUGAUUGAUUACAAAUGACAAUUACCUUGAUAUUGUAAAAUAAUCUUUUGUAGAAAUAAAUAAUCUGAAAUGCAUAUCAUUUUAAAUUUUGUUUAUUUUCUAGUAUUGGGAUGAAAAGAUUUUAGAGAAUUUGUUUAUCGUCAUUGUGCAUAAUUUAAAUACAUUAAAUAUUCUGUUUUUAAGGAUAUACAUGUAUCUUUUAUGUGUAAAGUGAAGAAGAUAAACUUAACAUUUUGAUAAGAAUGAUAAAAGAGUACGAGGAUAAAAUUGUAUAAAUUAUUUUUAUUUUAUCUUACUUUGGAAUUUAUGAGAUCUGUCUGUUAAAUUAUAGAAGAUCAGGUGUACUUGUCUGAAUGAAGCUGUACGUAUGUCGUAAAAACGAAGGAAACAAUAAUCACAAAAACUAUAUCGAGAUUUGAACUGUAUUUUAUGUAUCGAAAACGUGUGUAUUUAUGUUAUUUUACAUAAAUGA